rnacentral:misc_RNA from 1 species
ACAAACUUGGUCAUUUAGAGGAAGUAAAAGUCGUAACAAGGUUUCCGUAGGUGAACCUGCGGAAGGAUCAUUAAUGAAACAUUUGUCGAGAGGGGUUGUAGCUGGCGGCCUCCACCCAGGGGGUGCGCAGGUGCACGCCCUGAUCGCAAAAUCUUUCCACCUCACACACCUGUGCACGACCUUGCAGCUUUGGGGGAUGCUAACGGAGGGUUUCCUCUUGGACUCCGGAUGUUGCUUCCCUCGCUGUGAAUUUUUCACACACGCAUGCAAAUGUAUUGAACGUAUAAGAUGUCUUAGCGUGUAAAAAGCGCGAAAUAAUACAACUUUCAGCAACGGAUCUCUUGGCUCUCGCAUCGAUGAAGAACGCAGC